CCCAGACUCCUACGGGAGGCAGCAGUGGGGGAUAUUGCACAAUGGGGGAAACCCUGAUGCAGCGACGCCGCGUGGGUGAAGAAGCGCCUCGGCGCGUAAAGCCCUGUCAGCAGGGAAGAAAAUGACGGUACCUGAAGAAGAAGCCCCGGCUAACUACGUGCCAGCAGCCGCGGUAAUACGUAGGGGGCAAGCGUUAUCCGGAUUUACUGGGUGUAAAGGGGGCGCAGACGGCAGUGCAAGUCUGGAGUGAAAGCCCGGGGCCCAACCCCGGGACUGCUUUGGAAACUGUUCAACUGGAGUGCUGGGGAGGUAAGCGGAAUUCCUAGUGUAGCGGUGAAAUGCGUAGAUAUUAGGAGGAACACCAGUGGCGAAGGCGGCUUACUGGACAGUAACUGACGUUGAGGCUCGAAAGCGUGGGGAGCAAACAGGAUUAGAUACCCUCGUACA
rnacentral:rRNA from 1 species